rnacentral:rRNA from 1 species
GAUGAACGCUGACAGAAUGCUUAACACAUGCAAGUCUUUGGCGAAGCUGUGCUUGCACAGCCUAGCCAAGGCGGACGGGUGAGUAACGCGUAAGGAACUUGCCCUGCAGUCAGGGAUAACAGACGGAAACGACUGAUAAGACCCGGUAAAGUCAGGCGGACUCAUGUCCAGCCUGAUGAAAAGAGAUGCUGCAGGAGAGCCUUGCGUCCUAUUAGCUUGUUGGUGGGAUAACGGCCCACCAAGGCGAUGAUAGGUAGCCGGCCUGAGAGGGUGGACGGCCACAAGGGGACUGAGAUACGGCCCUUACUCCUACGGGAGGCAGCAGUGGGGAAUAAUAGACGAUGGGGGCAACCCUGAUGCAGCAAUUCUGUGGGGACGAUGAAGAUUUUCGGAUUGUAAAGUGCUUUCAGCAGGGAAGAAAAAAAUGACGGUACCUGCAGAAGAAGCGACGGCUAAAUACGUG